UGGGGAAUAUUGCACAAUGGGCGCAAGCCUGAUGCAGCCAUGCCGCGUGUGUGAAGAAGGCCUUCGGGUUGUAAAGCACUUUCAGCGGGGAGGAAGGCGGUGAGGUUAAUAACCUCACCGAUUGACGUUACCCGCAGAAGAAGCACCGGCUAACUCCGUGCCAGCAGCCGCGGUAAUACGGAGGGUGCAAGCGUUAAUCGGAAUUACUGGGCGUAAAGCGCACGCAGGCGGUUGAUUGAGUCAGAUGUGAAAUCCCCGGGCUUAACCCGGGAAUUGCAUCUGAUACUGGUCAGCUAGAGUCUUGUAGAGGGGGGUAGAAUUCCAUGUGUAGCGGUGAAAUGCGUAGAGAUGUGGAGGAAUACCGGUGGCGAAGGCGGCCCCCUGGACAAAGACUGACGCUCAGGUGCGAAAGCGUGGGGAGCAAACAGG
rnacentral:rRNA from 1 species